AACGAACGCUGGCGGCAUGCCUAACACAUGCAAGUCGAACGAGACCUUCGGGUCUAGUGGCGCACGGGUGCGUAACGCGUGGGAACCUGCCCUUAGGUUCGGAAUAACUCCCCGAAAGGGGUGCUAAUACCGGAUAAUGUCUUCGGACCAAAGAUUUAUCGCCUUUGGAUGGGCCCGCGUUGGAUUAGCUAGUUGGUAGGGUAAAAGCCUACCAAGGCGACGAUCCAUAGCUGGUCUGAGAGGAUGAUCAGCCACACUGGGACUGAGACACGGCCCAGACUCCUACGGGAGGAAGCAGGGGGGAAAAUUGGAAAGUGGGCGAAAGCCUGAUCCAGCAAGGCCGGGUGAGUGAUGAAGGCUUUAGGGUUGUAAAGCUCUUUUACCCGGGAUGAUAAUGACAGGACCGGGAGAAUAAGCUCCGGCUAACUCCGU
rnacentral:rRNA from 1 species